GGAUGUGAGGUUUAUGUAACUUUCAAUCCACAGAUAACCUGGGCUAAUUCAAUUCAUCUGGCUAGCUAGGUAAGUGUCCCUUCUCUUUCACCUCAGCAUGCACAUCCCUCCCAAAGCUGUGUGCUCAGGGAACAAGGACUGCCUCUUCUAUUUUUCUAGAUAGUGUGUACCAACCUUUGGCCAAAGAUGUAUGUUAGUUACACUCCCCUGCUAUAAUGUCAAAACAGCUGAGGUUUUGAAUUCUUGUUCAAUUAUGAGCUGACGGAUUACUUUGGACAGUCACUAGCUUUCAUCCUUUACCUCAGAUUUUAAGAAUAUUUA
rnacentral:snRNA from 1 species